rnacentral:rRNA from 1 species
CUGAUCCAGCCAUGCCGCGUGCGGGAAGAAGGCCUUCGGGUUGUAAACCCGCUUUUAUUUGGGAAGAAGGAGUCGGGGCGAAUACCCUCGAUGACGGACGGUACCGGAUGAAUAAGCACCGGCUAACUACGUGCCAGCAGCCGCGGUAAUACGUAGGGUGCGAGCGUUAAUCGGAAUUACUGGGCGUAAAGGGUGCGCAGGUGGUUAUUUAAGACAGAUGUGAAAUCCCCGGGCUCAACCUGGGAACUGCGUUUGUGACUGGAUAGCUAGAGUGCGGCAGAGGGGGGUGGAAUUCCACGUGUAGCAGUGAAAUGCGUAGAGAUGUGGAGGAACACCGAUGGCGAAGGCAGCCCCCUGGGCUAACACUGACGCUCAGGCACGAAAGCGUGGGGAGCAAACAGGAUUAGAUACCCUGGUAGUCCACGCCCUAAACGAUGUCAACUGGGUGUUGGGGGAGCGAUUCCUCAGUACCGUAGCUAACGCGUGAAGUUGACCGCCUGGGGAGUACGGCCGCAAGGUUA